UGGCAACCGGCGCACGGGUGAGUAACGCGUAUCCAACCUGCCCUUUACUAUGGGACAGCCCGUCGAAAGGCGGAUUAAUACCGUAUGUUGUCAUGUUGAUGCAUAUUUUCAUGACCAAAGGCUUCGGCCGGUAAAGGAUGGGGAUGCGUCUGAUUAGCUUGCCGGCGGGGUAACGGCCCACCGGGGCGACGAUCAGUAGGGGUUCUGAGAGGAAGGUCCCCCACAUUGGAACUGAGACACGGUCCAAACUCCUACGGAAGGCAGCAG
rnacentral:rRNA from 1 species